CCUACGGGUGACAGCAGUGGGGAAUAUUGCUCAAUGGGCGAAAGCCUGAAGCAGCCACGCCGCGUGUGGGAUGAAGGUUUUCGGAUUGUAAACUCCUUUUGUUCGGGAAGAUAAUGAUGGUAUCUAUCGCAUAAGCAGUGGCCAACACCGUGCCAGCACCCGCGGUAAUACGGAGGGUGCAAGCGUUACUCGGAAUCACUGGGCGUAAAGAGCGCGUAGGCGGGAUAGCAAGUCAGAUGUGAAAUCCUAUGGCUUAACCAUAGAACUGCCGUUGAAACUGGUAGUCUAGAGUAUGGGAGAGGUAGGUAGAAUUCGUGGUGUAGGGGUAAAAUGCGUAGAGAUCGAGAGGAAUACUGAUUGCGAAGGCGGCCUGCUGGAACAAAACUGACGCUGAUGCGCGAAAGCGUGGGGAGCAAACAGGAUUAGAUACCCCGGUAGUC
rnacentral:rRNA from 1 species